rnacentral:rRNA from 1 species
UUGACCUCGGAUCAGGUAGGGAUACCCGCUGAACUUAAGCAUAUCAAUAAGCGGAGGAAAAGAAACCAACAGGGAUUGCCUCAGUAACGGCGAGUGAAGCGGCAACAGCUCAAAUUUGAAAUCUGACCCCUUCGGGGCCCGAGUUGUAAUUUGUAGAGGGUGUUUCGGGCGCGGCGCCGGUCUAAGUUCUUGGAACAGGACGUCACAGAGGGUGAGAAUCC